rnacentral:rRNA from 1 species
AAACGAACGCUGGCGGCGUGGAUUAGGCAUGCAAGUCGAACGUGAAAGGGGCUUCGGCCCUGAGUAAAGUGGCAAAACGGGUGAGUAACGCGUGGAGAACCUGCCCGGAAGCGGGGGAUAACACUUCUAACGAGGUGCUAAUACCGCAUGUGUCUGCGUGAGCGCAUGCUCGCGCAGGUAAACGUGGCCUCUGCUCGCAAGCUACGGCUUCCGGAUGGCUCNGCGUCUCAUUAGCUAGUUGGUGGGGUAACGCUCACCAAGGCGACGAUGGGUAGCUGGUCUGAGAGGAUGGUCA